rnacentral:rRNA from 1 species
UACAGAGGUCUCAAGCGUUGUUCGGAUUCAUUGGGCGUAAAGGGUGCGUAGGCGGCGCGGUAAGUCGGGUGUGAAAUCUCGGAGCUUAACUCCGAAACUGCAUUCGAUACUGCCGUGCUUGAGGACUGGAGAGGAGACUGGAAUUUACGGUGUAGCGGUGAAAUGCGUAGAUAUCGUAAGGAAGACCAGUGGCGAAGGCGGGUCUCUGGGCAACUCCUGACGCUGAGGCGCGAAAGCGUGGGGAGCAAACGGG